GAUGAACGCUAGCGGCAGGCUUAAUACAUGCAAGUCGAGGGGCAGCAUGACUGAAGCAAUACAGUUGAUGGCGACCGGCAAACGGGUGCGGAACACGUUCAGAACCUUCCUUCGAGCGGGGAAUAGCCCAGAGAAAUUUGGAUUAAUACCCCAUAGUACAACGGAGUGGCAUCACUUUGUUGUUAAAGAUUUAUCACUUGAAGAUGGCUGUGCGGCUGAUUAGGUAGUUGGCGGGGUAACGGCCCACCAAGCCUGCGAUCAGUAACUGGUGUGAGAGCACGACCAGUCACACGGGCACUGAGACACGGGCCCGACUCCUACGGGAGGCAGCAGUAAGGAAUAUUGGUCAAUGGAUGAAAGUCUGAACCAGCCAUGCCGCGUGGAGGAUGAAGGUCCUCUGGAUUGUAAACUUCUUUUAUAUGGGACGAAAAAAGGGUUUUCUAACUCGUCUGACGGUACCAUAUGAAUAAGCACCGGCUAACUCCGUGCCAGCCGCCGCCGUAAGAC
rnacentral:rRNA from 1 species